CAAUCAGCCCUGUUCUGUGGCUUGUUCAGUAUGGGAGUUCUAAAGAAUUCAUAGUAUUCAAAAUUUGCAGGUACACAACACAUUGGCCAAAUGACAAAAUUAAAUUUCUAACCGUUGCUAUCAAGUCUGCCUGACUGAGUAUACUGUGAAUUCCAAUAUUUGGGUUGUAGAAAAAUGAGCUUAAAGCCUCGUUUAAAGGCUGUUUCAAAGUUGAGCCUCGUUCAAUGGCUAUAAAAUUAUUUUUCAGUCCUGUUCAGUGGCUGUUUUUCUGACAUUAAUACAUGUAAGAGGUGACUCAUUUGCAUUUCUAAUGAUGUUAACAGUGACCUCGCUCAUCACAUUGCUCCAGGCCAUUGGACAACUAAGUUUGGAAAAGACAUCGAGGUAUACCUCUCCAGUGUAUUAGGAUUGUAUUUUUAAGCUUAAAUCUGCAUUUUUAUUUUUAUUGUAAGAUUGGUACAUUCUUCUUUGAUGUUUGUCCUAUUCUUUCAGAGUUUCCCUCACCAGACCACCGGAAACUGUUGUGGCAUCUUUAUAUUAAUGGUUAAAAAAAAAUCUAGUCUCUAUUGAAACGUUUUUUUGUAUAAUUUUAAUCCACCAUAACUGAAUAGAUAUUUGAUUUUCACAGUAUGCCCUCAGCAUCAGCACAGGUGCUCCAUUCUUGUUUACUGAGGUCAGUAUUUUUUCUUCUGACAUGUGACCAAGUACAAAAAGGAUCUUAAAUAAAAUUUCCUAUACCACUUGUUUGCAAUUUCUACAAGGCUAAGUAUAAGCUAGAACAUGCUUUACCAUUUGUUUGAGUAAUUAAAAUAAUUUCUUUUAGAGGGACAUGGUACACAUUCGGAAGUGGUGGUGCAUUAGUCUGAUGGAACGAUUCCAGAUUGAAGGCCAUGGGCAGAGGUUUGCACAUUGGACUAGCGAGGCUACAGCAUUACUGAAAGGGUCACUGGAGCCAAUGUACAGGAUCCCAAAGUCCAGAAAGAGGAAACAUGAGGUUGUGUUUCCCAAAGAUGACAGAUGUUUCAUAUUGGAGUUGUCAGCAUGUCU